rnacentral:rRNA from 1 species
GCUUGUCUCAAAGAUUAAGCCAUGCAUGUCUAAGUAUAAGCAUUAUACAGUGAAACUGCGAAUGGCUCAUUAUAUCAGUUAUAGUUUAUUUGAUAGUCCCUACUACUUGGAUAACCGUAGUAAUUCUAGAGCUAAUACAUGCGCGAAGUCCCGACUGCGCGAGCGGAAAGGAUGCAUUUAUUGGAUACAACCAACCCGGCAACGGAUUUUGGUGAAUCACAAUAACUGAGCGAACCGCAUGCUUCGGCGGCGGUGGUUCAUUCAAGUUUCUGCCCUAUCAGCUUUCGAUGGUAGGGUAUUGGCCUACCAUGGCGUUAACGGGUAACGGAGAAUUAGGGUUCGAUUCCGGAGAGGGAGCCUGAGAGAUGGCUACCACAUCCAAGGAAGGCAGCAGG